GUCGCUGGAUAUCUACGUCAGAAAUACUAAAGCUGAAGUCUACUCUCCUCUUCAAUUUUAAAGUGUAAAUAGCAACAGCUUCCUUCCAUUAAUACCGUAGCCACCACCAGAGUGAGCUCCAGUGAUGGCAUGUAAGAGCGAGUUGAGGUUCUGCUGCAUUGUGAAACAUUGAACCAUAGAGAUGAGGAGGGAGGCCAACAGAAGAAGGUGCCAAAACAUUUCAGUGUCACCGCUGUCAUGCUGUGGGACACAUCUAAUCUGACAUCUAAAUGCUUCCACGACAGAGAUGUGUGCAUGUGGAUGGGAGGUCUGAUUUUUCAGGAACAGGCAGAGGGACAACUCUCAGAACAGAGCAUUUAAAGAGUAUUACAGCCCUAUCAGGUCAAUCUCAUUUCAUUUGUAUCAAUAAGGUUUAUGUGAUUUGUCUCUCUUGAUAAAGGAUUUUUAAAUAA